CUGUGCUAGGCGGGGGGCUAGCGGUCCCCUCCAUUCCGCAACCCGCUAGAGCGGAGCCGAAGGGCCCCCUGCGGGGCCGCGGGGCUGGACUGCCCCGGAGAAGCGGCGUUGAAGGCUGAGCCCUCUACGGCGCAUGUCGGCGAACCCCGUCAGGCCCGGAAGGGAGCAGCGGUAAACCGGCCCCUGCGGGCGAUAGAGGACCACUUGGCCGGAGCUGGCUCUCCGGAAAGCGCUCGCCCCACGACCUCAAAGGGGCCAAGCACAG
rnacentral:SRP_RNA from 1 species